CGAAGGGCUAUGCGUCAGCGCCGUAGCCUACGCCGGUGUUUGACGCAGAAGUAUAAAUCAGCCUUAAGCGAUAGGUUUUUAAGAUUCAGACUGUCUUCGUCAGAUUGGUUGAGUUUGUUUCUUACUUGACUUACAUAAAAUAAAAGCUCCUCCUCAGAGAAUCAUCACUUCUUCUUUCGCACCAUCGAGAAGGUUGAACCAUUCAUAAGAUUUACAAAAGGAGGAACUUUCUGACAUUUGAAAUGAUGUUAUCAGUGAGAAUCUUUGUGACUGCAUGCGAGUGGAUGCUCCUGGCUUUGUUUUCUGGUAACGAUUAUGCAGUUCUGUUUAAUCUUCGUACUGUUAUUCAACAUUAAACAUACUUAUUUCUUUAAUAUGCCUGCUUUUUUUAGCUGUUGUAGCUGGAUAUACAUCUUUAACCAACACAUCAGUUCAAACUGUUCAUCGAGGAGCGUCAGUCAAUAUUAGCUGUAGAUACAAACCAUCAGAUGAAACUGUCGCUUUUGAUGUGAAACUAGAAAACAAAUAUAGCUAUUAUACAUUGUGCUCAGUAAAGAUUAUGAACAAUUCAUUGAUUAGUCAAUCUUACCAGAACCAUUCCACCUCCUUCAGUUGUUUUGCGAGAAGACAGAACAUUUGUUCAAGUGAUUGCUCGCCCCACUGUGUCUGUAUCACAAACAAGAGCAUUGGAUGGAUUUACAAUCCUUUGCAGCUCUGAAGAGUUUUAUCCUUCAGCUAUAGAACAGGUGUGGAUGAGAAAUGGAGAAUUUCAGAACAUUUCUCAGACACUAAACAUUAACAAAACCAACCCAGAUGGAUCCUUCACUCUCCAUUCAUAUCUGAAUACAUCUGACUGUGAAAACUACUCGUGUUGGGUGAACCACUCGACCUUAAGCCAACCAACAACUCUUCAUGUGCUCCCUAAUUACUGUAACAAGGACCGAGGUGUAUGGAUAGCUGUGAAGACUUCUGCAUUGCUGAUUAUUGUCAUAAUACUCAUUAUUGCAGUCUUCUGUGCACAUUACAGGUCGCGCAAUCUUCAAAGUCAAAAUGUUCAGAAUUACACAAAUCAAGUUGUCAUGUUCAUCCAGUAAGAGCCUAUCACAGGUUCUCCUGUCCAAUCUGACACCCCCAUCACUGCAUAAUCACGAUCCAGUCCCAUGCAGCCUGGUCAGACUCCACGCAUGACCACAUGAAGCUUUUUCACUAUGAUUGAUGUUGUCUGAUUCAUUCACUAACCCUAACUUGUUUGUGUAUAGUAAUACAGAGUUUCAUGCAACAAUUCAUACUGGUUCUUGAUUCUGAUUGGCUGAGAGGUCUUUAUCUCCAUGUGAUCUUCCUGUAGGCUAUUAUUACAGUAAACUCUUUACAGAAUUUCGAACAUGAAGAGUCGUGUCAAAGGACCAAAGCCACUAUAAAUGUACAAAUAUUACUGUUGUUGUGUCACUGAAUGUAUUUUAAAGAGGUUAGAAUGUAGUUGUAGAUGUAUGGCAUGUGAACGCAAGGUAUCUGUGUUUCAGCACUUAUGAAACCAAAGACAGCUUUACUUUGGCCAGUUCUUCUGGAAUCAACUGCUGGCGAUGUAUGUAAAGUGGUAAAAUAUAAUAAUUAAUUGUAAGUAAUAAGGAGCCAUCUUUGGUAUCUUUAAUCUGUUAUUUGUUCCAGAGCAAACUGUUUUUAGGUAACGUUUCUUAACUUUUAUCUGCCUUUACUUAACACUUAUUAACACUGUCAUUGUGCUUUUGAUAAAUAACAUUUGUAAUGUGUGUUGUUGUAUAUGAGCAAGAGAAUCUAAUUUUUAUGCAAUAUUAAUGUUCAGUAAAACAUGCUGCCUAUAUUAAAAAUCAUUUAUAUGGUAUUAAUAAACAGUGUGCGCUGUUGGUAAUUUGCAGUUCUGGUUGCAUUGUUAUUUCAAUAGAAUUGCACAGGAGACUUUACUUUUGUGACUUUUAAAGUGGCUUUUUUUGUUAUUUUUGAAUUUAGAUAGAUCACCUGAAAGCUGGAUAGACAAGACUUUAAUUGUUGUAUUGAAACCACCGUGCAUAUUUUCUACAAUUGCAUCUACUCAGAGUUAUUUUGGUCUCAUAUACAUGACAGAUUUCUCAUGUCAAUAUCUAUGUAAACCCUUUUUGCUGUAAACGAUUUAAAUUUGGUGUAACUAAAGAAAAUUGUACUCAGCAUUACCUAGUUAAUAAUAUUUUAUUCUUUGUAAAAAUUUAUCAAUAACCCCCUCACCCCCCUCACACACACACACACACACACACACACACACACACACACACACACACAUUUUACACUAUAUUAAUAAACUUGCUUCAUCACUUAGUACUUUGUCAAAUGAUAAAGUAACUUAAUUUUGUACCCUAUAGCCCCUUCACAACCCUUUGAAGGGUUAUAUUGUGUAAACUUUUAUAAUUUAUUUUAUUUAAUUAUUAUUAUUUUAUUUAUUUAUUAACUUUUUUUACAUCAGUCGCAUUUUUCAUUACCAUAUUUGGCUUUUUCCCUAUAUUUGUCUCUGCCUAUUGUUGUAAUUACUUCAAGCUUGUUUAUGCAUGUAAGGCCUACUUUGUAUAUUUCUUUGAAUAAAAAAUAAAUAAAUAAAUAAAA